rnacentral:tRNA from 1 species
GUUCUUGUAGUUAAAGUCCUGUAACGACGGUUUUUCAGGCCGUAAAUCUCGGAGAGAGGCCGAGUGAGAACU